UUUUUCCCCUCCAAGAAAAUAUCAUACAAAAGAUGUGUUUAUCUGAUUAAACAUCUGUUGCUAAGUUUGGUAUUGUUCUGAUGAGCUUUUUCUUCAGGUAGUUCCACUUCUGUCGAACGCGAUUGGUUGGCAAGGUGGAAGCAUCCUAGCUCUUGAAACCUUAAAGCGUGUUGUAGUUGCAGGGAAUCGAGCAAGAGAUGCACUUGUUGCACAGGGUCUCAAGGUUGGUCUUGUGGAAGUUCUUCUUGGCCUUCUUGAUUGGCGAGCUGGGGGAAGAAAUGGGCUUUGUUCACAGAUGAACUGGAAUGAGUCAGAAGCAGCAAUUGGCCGGGUUCUUCAAAUUGAGUUACCAAUGGCCAGUAAUGUUAACUUGGAAAGCUAUAUCUCACAGGACUAAAGGCUUUAGUGGAGCGGACCUUCAAGCACUUCUUUCUGGCACACAACUUGAAGUAGUUCAUUUGCUCUUGGAUAGGGAAGAUGGCAGUGGAACUGGAAAGAUGCCUAUUAUCACGGUUGCUCUUCUGGAGUCCAUGGCAUCCAAGGCUAAAUGCCUAAAUCAUCAGUUUCAGAAGCUGAGAAGCGAAUGUUGCACGGCAUUUACAGCCAGUUUCU